UGGAAAUGAGAUCGCACAUAAGUAUGAAUCGAGAUCGCGAUUUUCUAAUGAUUAAUCGUGCAGCCCUAACCAACAGUACCAUCCGGUGAAGUGCCACCGACAGCGUGGGGGCGGGGGGGAUGACACGCUGGCACAGCUGCAGCCCCCAUCAGCCGCUCCAGUACAGCGGUGUCCCACUCCAAGUGGUCCCGCAAUACCCCCAGCUGCUCCUCCUGCUGUGCAGACAUCACCUGGCCCACAAUCUGGAGCGGGCGGAGUGACUGGGGGUCCGACAUAGCACCAAGAUUUCAGCACCACUGUGGUAAGGACCCCACGCACACACACAGUUGGCAGUUUACUCUGUUAUCUUUUAUUAUCUGUGGGCAGCAGAUGCUGUUGUUUCGGUGCUCUGCACGCUGGAACAGUCUCUCCAAGGCUGCUGCCACACACACGUCCUUCUGCUCCACUGUCACUGGAAAACCCCCAAAAGAUAGCAGUGUCAUUUAACCUGACCCAGCAUACCUGUUUCAAACACACCCCCGUGCCGCUCCUGCGAGCUCACUGUGCUACCCCUCCUCUACAACAGGCCAGAGACCACUGUAUGGUCUGCAGUGGUGAGAAUUACAGAGGAAGAAUCUCCACCACUGAAAACAGCUUCACCUGAAAGUUAAACACUGCUGUAAUUUAAUUUAGUUUCAUAAAACAUCACAGAACUCAGAUCAGAUAAAUAAUUUACAUUAAGAAAUUUGUGAUAACCAUCAAUAAAUCUAUUUCUUUUUCUUUUCUUUUCUAGACUAUCUUCUUGAGUGUGUAAAUGGAAUAGGAAGAGAUUAUAGAGGAACAAAGUCCAGAACAAACUCAGGAAAGAUCUGUCAAAGAUGGGACUCAAGCUACCCACACAGGCCAAAGUUCACGCCGCAGAGCCACCCACAAGCAGAUUUGGAGUCUAACUUCUGCAGAAACCCUGAUGGGGACAGCAAUGGACCGUGGUGUUACACUACGGAUCCUAAUGCCCGCUGGGAGCACUGCAACGUACCUAGUUGCUCUGGGUGACAGAGGUGGUCCUCCGGUUUGUUAUGAGCAGAACAGAUUUGUCCUUCAGGGUGUCGCAACAUGGACUGAGUGAUGUACGUUGGGCAGGACGGCCAGUGUUUACACUCAAGUUUCUAAGUUUGUGGACUGGAUCGAUGCAACCAUCAAAGCCAACUAAAAGCCAUCAUCCGUAAUGCGGUUGUUGAGGAUGUCUUAACAUGUAUACUUUGUUCUGCUCUGACAUGAACGUUUUUAUCAAGUAUUUUUUAUUAAGUAUGGAUACACAUUAAGUAGUGCAUGAAAAUCACAAAUUCUGCCAGAGAAGAAAAAUACAAGUUAAACAAAAUCAGAAAAUCACACUUUAUACAAGAUGUUCUGAUUUAAAAAAGAUUCUAUUUAUUAUUUUAUAUUAUAAUAUUUGGUGAUUGACAAAAACUGAGUUUUGAAGAGAAAUGUAGGAAAAGUUUUCCUAAGAAAAUGAAUAAGAACGAGCACGUUGAAAUUGGAUGUUCAUGUGGGAUUGAACUAAUGACAAAUGUAUGUGAACUAAAAUAGCAAAAACUUAAUGUUAACUUAAAGUGUAUUCAUAUGUGGCUGAAUGUUUAUCUGUGUUGGAAUUAGUGACAAUUAAGUACAAGAUAGAAGAGAAGAAAAUGUAAUGUAAGUCAAUUUAAAGUGUAAACUUUGUUUUACAUUAUGAAAAAGCCAGAGAAAGGAAUGAUGAUACGAUGUUACUGGACAUCAGGUGAUGGUAUGUCAACAAUGGAGACUGCUUUCUUUGCAAAAGAAAACAGCAUGUGCAUCAAAAUAAACUAUUUAAAGCAGUGAA